rnacentral:rRNA from 1 species
CAGCCGCCGCGGUAAUGCAGAGGAUGCAAGCGUUGUCCGGAAUGAUUGGGCGUAAAGGGUGCGUAGGCGGCUUGACAAGUCUUGUGUGAAAUCUAUGGGCUCAACCCAUAGUCUGCACGGGAAACUGUCGGGCUUGAGAAUGGGAGAGGUGAGUGGAAUUUCCGGUGUAGCGGUGAAAUGCGUAGAUAUCGGAAGGAACACCUGUGGCGAAAGCGGCUCACUGGACCAUUUCUGACGCUGAUGCACGAAAGCUAGGGGAGCAAACAGGAUUAGAUACCCCCGUAGUCCCUGUCUCUUAUAC